UACGUAGGGUGCAAGCGUUAAUCGGAAUUACUGGGCGUAAAGCGUGCGCAGGCGGUGAUGUAAGACAGGUGUGAAAUCCCCGGGCUCAACCUGGGAACUGCAUUUGUGACUGCACGGCUAGAGUGUGUCAGAGGGGGGGUAGAAUUCCACGUGUAGCAGUGAAAUGCGUAGAUAUGUGGAGGAAUACCGAUGGCGAAGGCAGCCCCCCUGGGAUAACACUGACGCUCAUGCACGAAAGCGUGGGGGAGCAAACAGG
rnacentral:rRNA from 1 species